rnacentral:rRNA from 1 species
UGGGGAAUAUUGGACAAUGGGCGCAAGCCUGAUCCAGCCAUGCCGCGUGAGUGACGAAGGCCUUAGGGUUGUAAAGCUCUUUUGGCGGGGAAGAUAAUGACGGUACCCGCAGAAUAAGCUCCGGCUAACUUCGUGCCAGCAGCCGCGGUAAUACGAAGGGAGCUAGCGUUGUUCGGAAUCACUGGGCGUAAAGCGCACGUAGGUGGGCAGUUAAGUCAGGGGUGAAAGCCCGAGGCUCAACCUCGGAAUUGCCUCUGAUACUGGCUGUCUAGAGUUCGAGAGAGGUGAGUGGAAUUCCUAGUGUAGAGGUGAAAUUCGUAGAUAUUAGGAAGAACACCGGUGGCGAAGGCGGCUCACUGGCUCGAUACUGACACUGAGGUGCGAAAGCCAGGGGAGCAAACGGGAUUAGAUACCCACGUAGUCCCUGAGCGGGCUGGCAAGGCGCAU